UACAAUAGAAUUAGGUUAUAUGGACACAUGUUUGGAACACUUUUAUGUAAGUGUCCAAUUUAUGCCAAAACUUUUAAAAAAACUAUUAAUGUCUAAAUAUAAAGUCCAAUCCAACUAAAAAUAAAAGGUUACACUAUUCAACCCAUCCCAUCCAACCCAUUCGAUCCGAUUACAAACAGAAAAGAAAAAGAAAAGAAAAUUCGAUUAUCAUUUCCCCUUCUCCCAUCACUCAAUCGACUAAAAUCCUAGACGAAAAUCCCUUCCUCUCGUCCUCCUCCGCCACCGCAGCCAACGAGAUAGAAUUCCGGCGGUUGCUAAAUGCUUAAAUAAGUGUUGGUAAAUUAGCAGCACUCUUUUAGAUUAUAGCGACACUCUUUAUCUGUCACUAUAUACCUAGCGACCCCACAUAUAGCAACACUUUUUAAAAGUGUCGGUAAUUUAGCCAGCAGCACUUUUUUGACCUGUACCGACAUUUAAAAGUAUCACUUUAGACCGUUAUUGUUGUAGUGACUAUGCAAUAUUUAAAGAAAGUUUUAAUUGAUAUCCUAAAUUUACACAUUAAUUUGUACUA
rnacentral:lncRNA from 1 species